rnacentral:misc_RNA from 1 species
GGCUGGUCUUAAAAGCAUUAGCUGAAUCUUGGUAUGGGAUUGGUUCUACUCAGCGUGAUAAUUAUCUGACCGCUGAGGACAUCUUUCGGGAUGGCCAGACUUGUCCUCGAAUCGCUUCUAAUCUGGUUCAUUCAUUCGUUUGUUUGAUCCAUUUUUUCAACUUUGACCUCGAAUCAGGCGGGACUACCCGCUGAACUUAA